AUACGGAGGGUGCAAGCGUUAUUCGGAAUUACUGGGCGUAAAGGGCGCGUAGGCGGCGCAUUAAGUCAGUUGUGAAAGCCCGGGGCUCAACCCCGGAAGUGCAAUUGAAACUGGUGUGCUUGAGUAUGGUAGAGGGAAGUGGAAUUCCUGGUGUAGCGGUGAAAUGCGUAGAUAUCAGGAGGAACACCCGUGGCGAAGGCGACUUCCUGGACCAAUACUGACGCUGAGGCGCGAAGGCGUGGGGAGCAAACAGGAUUAGAUACCCCAGUAGUCC
rnacentral:rRNA from 1 species